AUGACCUGGUCCCGGGGCGCGAUGAUGUGCCAGGAACAGCUGAUGCCCGGGUGGGGGGAAUCGGACUCGGGCCAGCUGGGCGUGGUCAGGGUUCCCUGCGCCUUCUCCAGCCGCCCCCCGCAAAAUUGGUGCUGUAGGGAGGGGAGAGGGGAGAGAGGAGCAGGGGUCGGGGGCGGUGGAGACCCUCGGUCAGCUCUAGGAGAGCUCCAGGCUGGGAGCUCCGGCAGGCAGCUUGAAUGUCUGGGGCUCAGGAUGAGGGGACGAGAAGAAGGCGAGGCAAACAGAGUCUGGAAUGGACGUCCAUCAAAUUCCAGCAGACCUGCAGAAGAGGGGCCUCCUAGAAGGAAAACUAACAAACAGAAAGUGAUAGCAUAUCAACAUCAAUAAAAAGGAUGCCCACGCAAAAACCCCAUCUGAAGGUCACCACCAUCAAAGAUCAAAAGUAGAUAAAUUCACGAAGAUGAGGAAAACCAGUGCAAAAAGGCUGAAAAUUAACAACUUGACCAAAAAUUUGUCACAGAAUUUUGAGACCCAUUAAAAAAGUUUAAUGAGAAAAAAAAAAGGCUGAAAAUUCCAAAAAGCAGAAUGCCUCUUCUCCAAAGGAUCACAACUCCUUGCCAGCAAGGGAACAAAACUGAAUGGAGAAAGAGUUUGACAAAUUGACAGAAGUAGGCUUCAGAAGGUGGGUAAUAACAAACUCCUCCAAGCUAAAGGAGCAUGUUUUAACCCAAUGUAAGGAAUCUAAGAACCUCAAUAAAAGGUUACAGGAACUGCUAACUAGAAUAACCAGUUUAGAGAAGAACAUAAUUGACCUGAUGGAGUUGAAAAACACAGCACAAGAACUUUGUGUAGCAUACACAAAGUAUCAACAGCUGAAUCCAUCAAGCAGAAGAAAGGAUAUCAGAGAUUGAAGAUCCACAUAGUGAAAUAAACCAUGAAGACAAGAUUAGAGAAAAAAGAAUGAAAAGGAACAAACAAAACCUCCAAAAAAUAGGAGACUAUGUGAAAAGACCAAACCCACAUUU
rnacentral:lncRNA from 1 species